rnacentral:tmRNA from 1 species
UGUCCGGGAUUUAAAGGUUAAUUAAAUGACAAUACUAAACAUGUAGUACCGACGGUCGAGGCUUUUCGGACGGGGGUUCAAAUCCCCCCAGCUCCACCA